rnacentral:rRNA from 1 species
GCAGUGAGGAAUAUUGGACAAUGGGCGCAAGCCUGAUCCAGCCAUGCCGCGUGCAGGAUGACGGUCCUAUGGAUUGUAAACUGCUUUUAUACGAGAAGAAACCCUGCUACGUGUAGCAGCUUGACGGUAUCGUAAGAAUAAGGAUCGGCUAACUCCGUGCCAGCAGCCGCGGUAAUA